rnacentral:rRNA from 1 species
UACGUAGGGGGCUAGCGUUGUCCGGAAUCAUUGGGCGUAAAGCGCGUGUAGGCGGCCCGGUAAGUCCGCUGUGAAAGUCCAGGGCUCAACCCUGGGAUGCCGGUGGAUACUGUCGGGCUCGAGUCCGGAAGAGGCGAGUGGAAUUCCGCGUGUAGCAGUGAAAUGCGUAGAGAUGCGGAGGAACACCGAUGGCGAAGGCAGCCCCCUGGGUCGACACUGACGCUCAGGCACGAAAGCGUGGGGAGCAAACAGG